rnacentral:misc_RNA from 1 species
UUUCCGUAGGUGAACCUGCGGAAGGAUCAUUACCGAGUUUCUUAGGGGCUCUAGCCUCUAAACUCUCCACCCUUGCGUGACUUUCCGAAUAUUUCGGCUUCACAAUUAUCUCACUGUAUGUUUAUUUGUUUUGGCAGAUUUUCGGCUUCUAGUUCGCUGGAUCUGAGGCUGCCGGCAUUUAACAACACAAACUCUUCAAGACUACAAAUAAAAAGUCCGAGUUAUAUUGAAUAAUUAAAAACUUUCAACAACGGAUCUCUUGGUUCUGGCAUCGAUGAAGAACGCAGC